ensembl:rRNA 5S_rRNA 5S ribosomal RNA
UAAGGCCGUACCACCCUGAACGCGCCCGAUCUCGUCUGAUCUCGGAAGCUAAGCAGGGUCAGGCCUGGUUAGUACUUGGAUGGGAGAAAUCACAGGUCUGGCACUGCCUGAU